CCUACGGGAGGCAGCAGUGGGGAAUAUUGCACAAUGGGGGAAACCCUGAUGCAGCGACGCCGCGUGAGUGAUGAAGUAUUUCGGUAUGUAAAGCUCUAUCAGCAGGGAAGAUAAUGACGGUACCUGACUAAGAAGCUCCGGCUAAAUACGUGCCAGCAGCCGCGGUAAUACGUAUGGAGCAAGCGUUAUCCGGAUUUACUGGGUGUAAAGGGAGCGUAGACGGCUGGUCAAGUCUGAAGUGAAAGCCCGGGGCUUAACCCCGGAACGGCUUUGGAAACCGAGCAGCUAGAGUGCUGGAGAGGUAA
rnacentral:rRNA from 1 species